rnacentral:rRNA from 1 species
ACAAUAUGAAUUUGGGGGGGAGCCCCCCACCCCGGGAGCCGCGGUUUAAUUUGAUUUAACCCCGGACAUCUCACCAGAGGCGACAGCUGUUUGAUAGCCAGGUUGAUGACUUUGCUUGCUAGCUGAGAGGAGGGUGCAUGCCGCCGUCACCUCGUACCGUGAGGCGUCCUGUUAAUUCAGGCAACGAGCGAGGACCCACGCCCUUAGUUACCAGCUUAUCCUUUUUUGGAUGAUGGGCACACUAAGGGGACCGCCUAUGAUAAAUAGGAGGAAGGAGUGGACGACGGUAGGUCCGUAUGCCCCGAAUACUCUGGGCAACACGCGGGCUACAAUGGCUGAGACAAUGGGUUCCGACACCGAAAGGUGGAGGUAAUCCUCUAAACUUAGUCGCAGCUCCGAAUGAGAACUGGAAGUGGUGCACACAAAUCCCUGGGCCUACAACAUAGGAGGUAUCGCGGGGAGCACAUAG